rnacentral:rRNA from 1 species
GGUUACUUUCUCUUUAAUCGGAGUAUAGUAUUGCCUGUACAUUCUUGUAUAUUUAAUUGUAAGAUGUUGUCGGCGUGCACUUCUCCCCUAGUAGGACGUCGCGACCCGUUGAGUUUUUAUUGUCGGUCUACGGCCCAAAUGGAAGCUUUCAGUGAUUAUUUUCAACGAUAAUUCAUUGAAAACCUUUGGUGUUACCUGACUGGCACUCAUCGGUAUUCGUAUGGUAUUGAGCCGCAUAUUAUAUGCGUCCGUAUCUGUCGCAAGCGAGGUUAGUAUAUUUUUAUUACUGAUAGUACGGACUUAGUGCCGUCGUUGGUACUAAUCAGCUGUUGGUUGUACAGAAUUCUAGGACUGGCUCUUAAAUGAAAAUACCGGUCAGCGAUGCUACUGCUUUGGG